rnacentral:rRNA from 1 species
UUGAACGCUGGCGGCAGGCCUAACACAUGCAAGUCGAACGGUAACAGGAAACAGCUUGCUGUUUCGCUGACGAGUGGCGGACGGGUGAGUAAUGUCUGGGAAACUGCCUGAUGGAGGGGGAUAACUACUGGAAACGGUAGCUAAUACCGCAUAACGUCGCAAGACCAAAGAGGGGGACCUUCGGGCCUCUUGCCAUCGGAUGUGCCCAGAUGGGAUUAGCUUGUUGGUGGGGUAACGGCUCACCAAGGCGACGAUCCCUAGCUGGUCUGAGAGGAUGACCAGCCACACUGGAACUGAGACACGGUCCAGACUCCUACGGGAGGCAGCAGUGGGGAAUAUUGCACAAUGGGCGCAAGCCUGAUGCAGCCAUGCCGCGUGUAUGAAGAAGGCCUUCGGGUUGUAAAGUACUUUCAGCGGGGAGGAAGGGAGUAAAGUUAAUACCUUUGCUCAUUGACGUUACCCGCAGAAGAAGCACCGGCUAACUCCGUGCCAGCAGCCGCGGUAAUACGGAGGGUGCAAGCGUUAAUCGGAAUUACUGGGCGUAAAGCGCACGCAGGCGGUUUGUUAAGUCAGAUGUGAAAUCCCCGGGCUCAACCUGGGAACUGCAUCUGAUACUGGCAAGCUUGAGUCUCGUAGAGGGGGGUAGAAUUCCAGGUGUAGCGGUGAAAUGCGUAGAGAUCUGGAGGAAUACCGGUGGCGAAGGCGGCCCCCUGGACGAAGACUGACGCUCAGGUGCGAAAGCGUGGGGAGCAAACAGGAUUAGAUACCCUGGUAGUCCACGCCGUAAACGAUGUCGACUUGGAGGUUGUGCCCUUGAGGCGUGGGUUCCGGAGCUAACGCGUUAAGUCGGCCGCCUGGGGAGUACGGCCGCAAGGUUAAAACUCAAAUGAAUUGACGGGGGCCCGCACAAGCGGUGGAGCAUGUGGUUUAAUUCGAUGCAACGCGAAGAACCUUACCUGGUCUUGACAUCCACGGAAGUUUUCAGAGAUGAGAAUGUGCCUUCGGGAACCGUGAGACAGGUGCUGCAUGGCUGUCGUCAGCUCGUGUUGUGAAAUGUUGGGUUAAGUCCCGCAACGAGCGCAACCCUUAUCCUUUGUUGCCAGCGGUCCGGCCGGGAACUCAAAGGAGACUGCCAGUGAUAAACUGGAGGAAGGUGGGGAUGACGUCAAGUCAUCAUGGCCCUUACGACCAGGGCUACACACGUGCUACAAUGGCGCAUACAAAGAGAAGCGACCUCGCGAGAGCAAGCGGACCUCAUAAAGUGCGUCGUAGUCCGGAUUGGAGUCUGCAACUCGACUCCAUGAAGUCGGAAUCGCUAGUAAUCGUGGAUCAGAAUGCCACGGUGAAUACGUUCCCGGGCCUUGUACACACCGCCCGUCACACCAUGGGAGUGGGUUGCAAAAGAAGUAGGUAGCUUAACCUUCGGGAGGGCGCUUACCACUUUGUGAUUCAUGACUGGGGUG